UGUCAGUGUGUUUCUGGUCCUUUAAUAUGAAGUUUGUGUUUCUUCCUCAGACAUUCAGGAGAUUUAUGAGCUGACGGUGUUUGAGAAUCAGACGGCAGAUCAAGCACUCACACCGGGACUGAAGCACCGUUACCAUGACGAGGAGACGCCGCCGCUGCAGCACAGUCCAGCUCACCUGAACACAGGACAGUCUGCAGAGAUGCAGCUCAGCGACGCUGGACACGCCCCCAUCGACGGUAUCCACGGUUACACACCCCAGAUGCACGUGUCACCCGCCAAGCCGGUGUUGCUCCCCAGCGGUCACACACACUACUACGCCACAUCUACCCUAGUAAGUGUUCCUCAAACACACACUCAUACUAGAGCAUGUUCUGCUGAUUCAGUGGCCUGCUUCUGAUUGGCUGUGAUGUCAUUUCCUGUAGAUGCGUCCCAGUACACACACUUGCAGUGUUUGCACUUGAUCACUUG